UAAAACAGGAACCAUGUCAGCUGAAAACUACAAAGAUCACUUCAUACAAGAAAUGUUACACUAAGAAAGGAGAGAGACACAACAUGUGUUAGGUGUAAAGUUGUCAGUAGGGGGAAUAACCCAGGGCUGUGAAUGAGUCCUGUCACUGUGAUCAGGUUCCUCCUUCUAAUCCACCAACUUAGUGUUGAUGAAGACUAAACAGAGAGAUCACAGCCUUCUUUAUACUUGCUGUAGCUCAGAGUUACUCCACACUGCAGAUAUGAAGCCUCUGUUCAUCUCAGUGUUGCUGGCUGCUAUGAGCCUUGAAUGCAGAGCUCAAAAAGACAACGUGCUGCAACCAAAAGGAGAUGUGACUGCUACUGAAGGAGAGGCAGUAACACUUGGCUGUCAAUAUAACAGCAGUUCAACUACUACUAAUUAUCUCUUCUGGUACAAACAGGAUGGAAACAACAGCCCCAAAUUCAUUCUCAUCCGCGUUCAAGGGGAUGAAGGGAACACAGCAGACGAGUUCAGGGAGAGAUUUUCAUCUACACUCAAUUCCAAGUUAAGAUCAGUUCCUCUGAAGAUCCAGAAGCUUCAGCUGUCUGACUCUGCUGUGUACUACUGUGCUCUG